rnacentral:lncRNA from 1 species
UCGAUGAUGUUGAGAUUCAGCAAUUAACCCCCAACCGAAGAAGGGCAAGAAAGAACAGAGAACAAGCAACUGAAGCUCAAUGAUAAUCCGGAUCGUGCAAGAGAGUAAAUUUAAGCUGCAAUCGACGAACUACAAUAUGUAAAAUUAUUAACUAGAAUCGUUGCACGAUUGAGAAUUUACAGGGCGGCGCAGCCUAGCAGGCCGGCGUGGUCGUCCUCAGAUGGUGCAGCCGCAGAAAGAGACGAAGAAACAGAGCAUGGCUACCAGCGCCAGUGACUCCAGCACCGUGACGAGCGUCCACAGCACGUCGUCCACCACCAGGUCGAGCCGCCUGAAGCUCCACCACGCCGUCAGGUGCGACAGCCCCUGCCCCGGCCACCGCAGGAUCGAUGGCGGAAGCGGGAUCUGAAUCCCUGGCCACCGGAAAGCUGUCAGCGAUGCGGACCGUCCCGGUUGCAUCUCUCCUUCCUUCCUUUCCCUCUCUCCCCUGUUUCG